GAGUCUGGCCGGCCGUUGUCAACGCUUGUCACCAUCAAGGGCCGCGGGCGUCGCAGUCCGAUUUCCUAUCCCUGGGGCUGGAAGAGGCCUGGGGUGGCUGGGGGGAUCUCUCUCCUGUUUGACUCCAUUCUUACGGUGGGGCUGGGAGGGAGAGCUUUUCCUUUUUUUCUCUCCUGCAGAGCUGCACAAGGCAUCGGAAAGUUUCCUACCACUUGAGGAUGAAGUGCAAGUAUUGCUUCCUGGCGGGGAAGAAAGGACCAGAAGUCUCUCAGGAGAACUUCGCUCUUGGCUUCCCCACUGGUCUCCCCAAACACAAACUCUUCCCCGGGCCGAGAGCAACGACCUGAGGCCACCUGGGAAUGCACCCUGAGGACGCGAACUCAGUGGACCUUAGGACAAGAAUGACCACGGCCCUUUCUCACUAAAGGAGAUCCACUGACCUAGAUCCAGCAGUCAAGCUAAGGCCAAAGAUGUACAGAUUUUGCCUUAAAACACAUAGCUUUUUUUUUAAUGCCUCCACCACCGAGAGCUGCGCGCUAUGGGUGUCAGCCUCCUCCGCCCCGAGUCCGUCCACAGCGCCCACCCGUGGCCCCAAAGCCCCUCUGGAGAACAGAUCUUAGGGGGUGACGAGAAGCCUUCACCUGUGAUGCCCAGCCGCCGCCAAACCUAAGCCAGAAAGCCUAGAACGUGGGACCCAGUUCAACGUUUGUCUUCAUCCAUCCAUCCAUGCAUCCAUCCAUUUCUGCAUGCAUACAAACAUACGAUUUGAAAGAAAAAAAAAAUCCUUGCACAGAUGCACGGAGAGUUGUCCCUUGCCCUGGCGAGGGCCUGAGAACGCUCCCCCUAUCCGGUCUCCCCUCCCACCAAGCCGGGUCCCCUCCCCAAGGGGAGAACAGCUCAAUUACGAAAGGGAGCGAAGAGAAGAGGUCCCGGGCGCCCGCCGGUGCUGCCCCGGUCCCCAUCCCUGGCACGCUGUCCCCACCCCCUCCGUCCUUAGCCCAGGGAGGGCGGGGACGCGGCUGGACGCGGGUUCUGCCGGGCUCCCACCGAACAAAGCCCGCCGCGGGAGCCGGUGGCUGCGCGCACCGUGCUGGUGACAAAGGCGGGCGGGCGGCGCCGAGCUGAAAGCCCCAGCUCCCUGGGCCCAGUGAGAGGCAAACCCUGGAGAUGGGUGCGAUUUGCACCCGGUUUCUAGUGACCUGUGCGGAUGACUCAGCAUUCGAGGGUUCUUUUCCCCCACCCCUGUUUUUCUUUCUCCUAUCUUUUUCUGUCUCCAGUUUCCUGUCCGCUUUUUUUCUUUCUUUCUUUCUCCACUUCACUCCUUUUACCUUCUUCUCACUUGGCCUUUUUUUUUGCCUCGCGGUCCCUUUUUCUUGUACUUGAGGUGGUUGGGGGAGGGAGGGGAGAGACAAUGCUAACUCGACUCCUGCAGGCCUUUCCGUGUUCUGAAAGACCUUGCUGGGCAGCAUUUGGAGAGAGCUGGAGAGUAAAGGAUCCUUGUAAUUGUAUUAUGCAAACUGCGCUCUAAAUAAAUGUCGUUAGAAUGCGACCUAAGGACGCCAAGCUUAGCCCCGAGGCUCCACAUUUUACCACUGAUUUGGAAAGAGUCCAUUUCGGUGCCCAGAAAUCACAGAAAUGGGAGGGGGACAAAAAAGAGGUCCCUUCCGCUGUGGAAUGGGAGCCCGGAGCGCUGCAGUCUCCAAGGAAAACCUUUCAAGGGGAACGUUCUUAUACCUUAACUCCGAAAGGGAACCUCUGCUAGGCACCUGGGGAGAGGGGAAUAAAUCAGUUUUUUAUUAUUAUUUUAGGAAACUAAAAAACUGAAGUUUUACUUGAUCGGUGUGUGUGUGUGUGUGUGUGUGUGUGUGUGUGUGUGUGUGUGUACGUGUGUGUGAUGCGAAUAAAAAAUAAAGGAAACACAGCCCAUACCAUUUGAA